rfam:Jeotgalicoccus sp. 13MG44_air genome assembly, contig: CONTIG000001
AAAUUCCUGAAGAGUUCGUGAUGUGUUGACUUAUAUUUUGACCUAACACCUUUUUUAUCGGGAGCCUAAUUGGUUUUCCCUCGAAAAACAAGCCUAUGUACGCAGUAGGACGUUUGGAGUUGGAAACAGGGCACCCACCUGCAAAUAGCAGGCCAAAAUAAUCAACUAUAACACACGGCUUACGUUGGGUAUUUC